AACUAACGCUGGCGGCGCGGUUUUAAGCAUGCAAGUCGGACGGAUUGAAGUGCUUCGGUGCUUUAGAGAGUGGCGAACGGGUGAGUAACACGUAGGUGAUCUACCUCUGGAUGGGGGAUAGCCCAUGGAACAUGGGGUAAUACCGCAUGAAGCCUGUAUCUUACGGGGUAUGGGUUAAAGGUGCAAUUGUGCUGUCUGGAGAUGAGCCUGCGGCCCAUUAGUUAGUUGGUAGGGUAAAGGCCUACCAAGGCGAUGAUGGGUAGCCGGCCUGAGAGGGUGCACGGUCACACUGGGACUGAGACACGGCCCAGACUCCUACGGGAGGCAGCAGCUAAGAAUCUUCCGCAAUGGGCGCAAGCCUGACGGAGCGACGCCGCGUGGACGAAGAAGGCCGAAAGGUUGUAAAGUUCUUUUGCAGAUGAAGAAUAAGGUGGGGAGUGGAAUGUCCCGCUGAUGACGUUAGUCUGCGAAUAAGCCCCGGCCAAUUACGUG
rnacentral:rRNA from 1 species